rnacentral:rRNA from 1 species
GAAACAGGUGCUAAUACCGUAUAACACUAUUUUCCGCAUGGAAGAAAGUUGAAAGGCGCUUUUGCGUCACUGAUGGAUGGACCCGCGGUGCAUUAGCUAGUUGGUGAGGUAACGGCUCACCAAGGCCACGAUGCAUAGCCGACCUGAGAGGGUGAUCGGCCACACUGGGACUGAGACACGGCCCAGACUCCUACGGGAGGCAGCAGUAGGGAAUCUUCGGCAAUGGACGAAAGUCUGACCGAGCAACGCCGCGUGAGUGAAGAAGGUUUUCGGAUCGUAAAACUCUGUUGUUAGAGAAGAACAAGGAUGAGAGUAGAACGUUCAUCCCUUGACGGUAUCUAACCAGAAAGCCACGGCUAACUACGUGCCAGCAGCCGCGGUAAUACGUAGGUGGCAAGCGUUGUCCGGAUUUAUUGGGCGUAAAGCGAGCGCAGGCGGUUUCUUAAGUCUGAUGUGAAAGCCCCCGGCUCAACCGGGGAGGGUCAUUGGAAACUGGGAGACUUGAGUGCAGAAGAGGAGAGUGGAAUUCCAUGUGUAGCGGUGAAAUGCGUAGAUAUAUGGAGGAACACCAGUGGCGAAGGCGGCUCUCUGGUCUGUAACUGACGCUGAGGCUCGAAAGCGUGGGGAGCGAACAGGAUUAGAUACCCUGGUAGUCC